CCUACGGGGGGCAGCAGUGAGGAAUAUUGGUCAAUGGACGCAAGUCUGAACCAGCCAUGCCGCGUGCAGGAAGACGGCUCUAUGAGUUGUAAACUGCUUUUGUACGAGGGUAAACGCAGAUACGCGUAUCUGUCUGAAAGUAUCGUACGAAUAAGGAUCGGCUAACUCCGUGCCAGCAGCCGCGGUAAUACGGAGGAUUCAAGCGUUAUCCGGAUUUAUUGGGUUUAAAGGGUGCGUAGGCGGUCGGAUAAGUUAGAGGUGAAAUCCCGAGGCUCAACUUCGGAAUUGCCUCUGAUACUGUUCGGCUAGAGAGUAGUUGAGGUAGGCGGAAUGUAUGGUGUAGCGGUGAAAUGCUUAGAGAUCAUACAGAACACCGAUUGCGAAGGCAGCUUACCAAGCUACUUCUGACGUUGAGGCACGAAAGCGUGGGGAGCGAACAGGAUUAGAUACCCUUGUAGUC
rnacentral:rRNA from 1 species